rnacentral:misc_RNA from 1 species
GAUGAAGAACGCAGCGAAAUGCGAUACGUAAUGUGAAUUGCAGAAUUCAGUGAAUCAUCGAAUCUUUGAACGCAUAUUGCGCUCUUUGGUAUUCCGAAGAGCAUGCUUGUUUGAGUAUCAGUAAACACCUCAAAAGAUUUUCAUUUUUGAAAUGAUUUUGGACUUGAGCAAUCCCAACACCAGUCUUCACGGAUCGGCGGAGGGUUGCUUGAAAUGCAGGUGCAGCUGGACAUUCUCCUGAGCUAAAAGCAUAUCUAUUUAGUCCCGUCAAACGGAUUAUUACUUUUGCUGCAGCUAACAUAAAGGGAGUUUGACCAUUUUGGCUGACUGAUGCAGGAUUUCACAAGGGUCGGUAAAACGAUUUUUGUAAAACUCGAUCUCAAAUCAAGUAAGACUACCCGCUGAACUUAAGCAUAUCAAUAAGCGGCGGA